rnacentral:misc_RNA from 1 species
UACGGAGGGUGCAAGCGUUGCUCGGAAUUAUUGGGCGUAAAGCGCACGCAGGCGGCGGAGUAAGUCAGUUGUGAAAUUCCCGGGCUUAACCUGGGAGCUGCAGCUGAUACUGCUCUGCUAGAGUACGGAAGAGGGGAGCGGAAUUCCCAGUGUAGAGGUGAAAUUCGUAGAUAUUGGGAGGAGCACCGGUGGCGAAGGCGGCUCCCUGGUCCGAUACUGACGCUCAGGUGCGAAAGCGUGGGGAGCAAACAGG